rnacentral:rRNA from 1 species
ACGAAGCGAAAGUGACGGUACCUGCAGAAGAAGCACCGGCCAACUACGUGCCAGCAGCCGCGGUAAUACGUAGGGUGCAAGCGUUGUCCGGAAUUAUUGGGCGUAAAGAGCUCGUAGGCGGUUUGUUGCGUCGGCUGUGAAAUCCCGAGGCUCAACCUCGGGUCUGCAGUCGAUACGAGCAAACUGGAGUGUUGCAGGGGAGACUGGAAUUCCUGGUGUAGCGGUGAAAUGCGCAGAUAUCAGGAGGAACACCGAUGGCGAAGGCAGGUCUCUGGGCCACUACUGACGCUGAGAAGCGAAAGCAUGGGGAGCGAACAGGAUUAGAUACCCUGGUAGUCCAUGCCGUAAACGUUGGGCGCUAGGUGUGGGACUCAUUCCACGAGUUCCGUGCCGCAGCUAACGCAUUAAGCGCCCCGCCUGGGGAGUACGGCCGCAAGGCUAAAACUCAAAGGAAUUGACGGGGGCCCGCACAAGCGGCGGAGCAUGCGGAUUAAUUCGAUGCAACGCGAAGAACCUUACCAAGGCUUGACAUAUACCGGAAACAUCUGGAGACAGGUGCCCCGCAAGGUCGGUAUACAGGUGGUGCAUGGUUGUCGUCAGCUCGUGUCGUGAGAUGUUGG